CCUCUCGGGGGUAAGCGGGCAGAACUUGGAAGUAUUUGGUAAGAGAUUCAGACUUGGACUUGAUAGUUGUGAGAUUAAUGUUAGAUUGUUCUUUUGGGAACUGAUCAAUUUGAUUUCUCUAUUCUAUUGAGGAUACGUCGCAUUUCUCUUAUCAUUCGGGUUGUAUGCAACUAAAUUUUGAUGAGUCGUAGAGUGCUGCUGAUAUACUGUGGGUUAGCUAGUUAUCGACUACGAUUGUGGUUGUUAUAAAAGCGAACAAGAGCUUGUCUCGGUCAAUUAUUCUUACGAGUCGUGUGUGUAGUAUGUAUGGACGGGUAACCGUAGUAUGUAUUAUAUACUGGUUGUCAGUNAGAGUAACAUUUGGCAUUGUUCAGUAUUACAAUCUAANGCAUGCGUGGUCUGCCUGU
rnacentral:rRNA from 1 species